GGACGAACGCUGGCGGCGUGCUUAACACAUGCAAGUCGAACGAUGAAGCUUAGCUUGCUAGGUGGAUUAGUGGCGAACGGGUGAGUAACACGUAGGUAAUCUGCCCUGCACUUUGGGAUAAGCCUGGGAAACUGGGUCUAAUACCGAAUAGGACACACUAUCUUUACGGUGGUGUGUGGAAAGCUUUUGCGGUGUGGGAUGAGCCUGCGGCCUAUCAGCUUGUUGGUGGGGUAAUGGCCUACCAAGGCGUCGACGGGUAGCCGGCCUGAGAGGGUGUACGGCCACAUUGGGACUGAGACACGGCCCAGACUCCUACGGGAGGCAGCAGUGGGGAAUAUUGCACAAUGGGCGAAAGCCUGAUGCAGCGACGCCGCGUGGGGGAUGAAGGCCUUCGGGUUGUAAACUCCUUUCGCUAGGGACGAAGAGUUACAUUGACGGUACCUGGAGAAGAAGCACCGGCUAACUACGUGCCAGCAGCCGCGGUAAUACGUAGGGUGCGAGCGUUGUCCGGAAUUACUGGGCGUAAAGAGCUCGUAGGUGGUUUGUCGCGUCGUCUGUGAAAUCCCGGGGCUUAACUCCGGGCGUGCAGGCGAUACGGGCAUAACUUGAGUGCUGUAGGGGAGACUGGAAUUCCUGGUGUAGCGGUGAAAUGCGCAGAUAUCAGGAGGAACACCAAUGGCGAAGGCAG
rnacentral:rRNA from 1 species